UGUUGAAAGUACAUUUAAUAACAUUAAAAAUCGAAUAUUUAAUAAUCAGCAAUUACCAUUGAGCUGACGAUUUUUUAUUACGACAUAUAGAUUAUAUGAGAGGUCUUCUAAAAAUAGCCACAACAAAGAUGAAGUACAAAGAAUACAGUUUUGAAAACGAUUAUGCAGAAAAUAAGAAUACCAGAGAAAGAGAAAAGAUGAAAGUGUCAGAGGAUAUAGAAAAUUGUAAAGAUUGCCAGCAGUCAGGUAAAGAAAAUAGCAAUGAACUGGAAAACUGGAGAAGACAAAUAAUAGAAGAAAAAAAAGGAAAAGAUCAUAUUUAUUACUAAAUUCCGAAUGGAUGAAAGUCAAUCUUGGAGAGGAAGGUAACAUUAUGCCAAUAGGUCUAUUAAAAAAUGGAAAUUCUUUUCAAUUGAAACCUUUAAAAAUAGGGAAAAUAUCAUAUAUAGUAACUAUCACAUGUGCAUUUGAUUUGUUAGUUAUUAGCAUCAUCAUACUGUGAUAGUAGGUUUUCAGAAAAAUUCUUUAAUCACAACAAUAAUAAACUUC
rnacentral:lncRNA from 1 species